CAAUAGCGUAUAUUAACGUUGUUGCAGUUAAAAAGCUCGUAGUUGGAUUUCUGGAGGGAGCGUCGGCCCGUAUUUACGAGUGCGUGACGUCUCUGUCCAUCCUUGCGGGAAGGCACGGCAUUGAUUUGUUGUGUCGGAUCGCAUCAUUUACUGUGAAAAAAUUAGAGUGUUCAAAGCAGGCUUUCGCUUGAAUACAUUAGCAUGGAAUAAUAAGAUAGGACUUUGGUGCUAUUUUGUUGGUUGAGCCUAAAGUAAUGAUUAAUAGGGAUAGUUGGGGGCACCUGUAUUGCGUUGUCAGAGGUGAAAGUCUUGGAUUUACGCAAGACAAACAGCUGCGAAAGCGUCUGCCAAGGAUGUUUUCAUUAA
rnacentral:rRNA from 1 species